rnacentral:rRNA from 1 species
GACGAACGCUGGCGGCGUGCUUAACACAUGCAAGUCGAACGGUAAUGCCCUGCUUUUGUGGGUUGCUCGAGUGGCGCACGUGUGAGUAACACGUGAGUAACCUGCCCUUGACUUUGGUAUAACUUCAGGAACCUGUGUCUUAUACCGUAUAGGUUCUCCUGCUGCAUGGUGGGGUUUGGAAAGUUUUGGCGGUUGGGGAUGGACUCGCGGCUUAUCAGCUUGUUGGUGGGGUAGUGGCUUACCAAGGCUUUGACGGGUAGCCGGCCUGAGAGGGUGACCGGCAACAUUGGGACGGAGAUACGGCCCAGACUCCUACGGGAGGCAGAAGUGGGGAAUAUGGAAAAAUGGGCGGAAGCCUGAGGCAGGAACGCCGCGUGCGGGAUAACGGCCUUCGGGUGUUAAACCGCUUUCGCCUGGGACGAAGCGUGAGUGACGGUAAUGGGUAAAGAAGCACCGGCUAACUACGUG